AGUUUUGCACAGUGGCAGUGUCAUAGCCAAUGAGGUUUAUUUGAGGUGCGAUUAUUGCUAAUUGGAAAAAAAGAAGACCAAGCUGCCCUUCCAGGUGUCCAGUACAUGCAGCCUGGGAGAGGCAGGAGUUAUACAGGUUUA